AACCAACGCUGGCGGCGUGCCUCAGACAUGCAAGUCGAACGAUUAAGACUCUCUUCGGAGAGUGUAUAAAGUGGCGCACGGGUGAGUAACACGUAGGUAAUGUACCGAAGGGUGGGGAAUAACUUAGGGAAACUUAAGCUAAUACCGCAUAAUGCAGCGGCUCGACAUCGAGACAGUUGUUAAAGGAGCAAUCCGCCUUUUGAGCAGCCUGCGGCAGAUUAGCUAGUUGGUAAGGUAAUGGCUUACCAAGGCUACGAUCUGUAACCGACCUGAGAGGGUGGUCGGUCACACUGACACUGAAUAACGGGUCAGACUCCUACGGGAGGCAGCAGUCGGGAAUUUUGGGCAAUGGGCGAAAGCCUGACCCAGCAACGCCGCGUGAAGGAUGAAGUAUUUCGGUAUGUAAACUUCGUAAGAAUAGGAAGAAUAAAUGACGGUACUAUUUGUAAGGUCCGGCUAACUACGUGCCAGCAGCCGCGGUAAU
rnacentral:rRNA from 1 species